GCCCGGAUGGCGAAAUCGGCAGACGCAGCGGACUUAAAAUCCGCGGCCCUCUUCGGGGCAUGCGGGUUCGAGCCCCGCUCCGGGCACCA
rnacentral:tRNA from 1 species